rnacentral:misc_RNA from 1 species
UAAUAAGUGUUUUAUGGCACUUUUUAAGUCCAUAUCCACCUUGUGUGCAAUGUCAGUCGAUCUUCUUCAUGGAGAUCGACCAAACAUCAACCUUAUCUUUUAACUCUUUGUCUGAAAAAUAUUAUGAAUAAACAAUUCAAAAUA